rnacentral:rRNA from 1 species
AACCUGGUUGAUCCUGCCAGUAGUCAUACGCUCGUCUCAAAGAUUAAGCCAUGCAUGUGUUAGUAUAAACGCUUUUAUACUGUAAGACUGCGAACGGCUCAUUAUAUCAGUUAUAGUUUAUUUGAUACUUUUUCACUAUUGGAUAACCGUAGUAAUUCUAGAGCUAAUACAUGCUUACAGGCCCGACUUUUUGGAGGGCUGUAUUUAUUAGAUUUCAAUCAACAUUUUUUGCUGACUCAUGAUAACUUAGCGGAUCGCAGAGGCCUUGCGCCGGCGACAAUC